rnacentral:rRNA from 1 species
CCCUUAGAUGUCCGGGGCUGCACGCGCGCUACACUGAAGGAAUCAGCGUGCUAAAACCAUUGUCGAAAGGCAUUGGUAAACCCAUUAAAAUCCUACGUGAUUGGGAUCGGGAAUUGCAAUUAUUUCCCUUGAACGAGGAAUUCCCAGUAAGUGUGGGUCAUAAGCUCGCGUUGAUUACGUCCCUGCCCUUUGUACACACCGCCCGUCGCUGCCCGGGACUGAGCCGUUUCCAGAAAAGCGGGGACUGCUGCUGUCGGGGCUUUCGGGCCUUGGCUUCGGUGGAAACCGCUUUAAUCGCAGUGGCUUGAACCGGGCAAAAGUCGUAACA